rnacentral:lncRNA from 1 species
GCCAUUUCAAUUUAAGAAAACAAAAGAUGAUCCUGUGAACACUGUAUCAGGCAUCAUUACUGGACUGGAAAAAGGAUCACUUGAUGGACAUGCCUGGCAUUUUGUUUAGAAGUAUUUCUUCUCUGGCCUUAGAAGAUUAGUUUUCAAAGCGAUGGUAAAAUCAUUGAUGUACGUCUUUUCAAGAAAAAGAAAAAAAAAAAAAAGACUCCUAAAUGCCAAACAUUUGCUCUUUGGAGCAUAGCAAGAAGAAAGGGAGAGGACCAGACGGCCACAUCCUAAGAACAGAGUAUUGUCCAGUGGGUGUCUGCCGCUUCCUCAUGCCUUGCUGUAAGAAAGCUCGUAAAAAGGAAGAAAUCUAAAACUAGAACAACUCUAUAUUUACAGUUUCUCUGACAUUAAAAAGUACUCAAGAGAAGAAUUUUUUUUUAAUUUAAAGAAACAUCUGUCCAACAUGGAUGAUUUUGAAGAAGAGCACUCCCCUUUGUCCAGAGCCAUAGAAAGUUAAUUUAAUUACACUAAUCAUUACACCCUCCCCAAAUUAGACUACAAAUGAAUCUUGAUUUCUCAUGAUUUUUUCACUUUACAAAAUAAUCUUAAAGUUUAGGAGGAAGAAAAGAUGCUUAAGAAUAAUCAAGAAUGCUUGGAAAAGAGGAAGAAAGAGGGAAAUUUCUCCUACUGAUCCGGCAGUGCUGGGAAGGGAAGAGCAUGGUCCCUUUAAAUGAUAGCGAAGUCGGGCAGGAAGUGCUGGGUAGAGAAAGGCGUUGUCUCUGGCUAGGGCUCCACUCCCAGGGACCUAGGUGAGGACAGGCACUU